rnacentral:lncRNA from 1 species
UCCCCAUAAAAAAAUUCAACCUUCUCAAAACAGCCUAUUUUAACCUAAUUUGGUGAAUAUAGAUUUGUAUGAUAAUGCUAUGUUGUUUAUCUUGAGGUAUUUGGGGAUGUGACCAGUUUUAGCCAACUCCCAAAUAAAAAUUAAUCCAAAUAGCAUUUCUGGCAGUUUCCGAAAUUGUUAAGCUGAUUUGUCCUGCUGCAGCUUGUCAUGAUGACCAUGAUAACUGAGGCAGGUCAAAUGGCUUCUUUAUAUUCUAUUUUAGUUGUGAAAGACGUUAUUUGGCCAGAUGUUUCUAGAACCCAAACUUAGACUUGAAGAACACUUCCACCAUCACCAUUGUUGCUUCCUUGUUUGUCCAUUUCUCUGGCAAAGGGAAUUUCAUUGCUGAUCCUGCAAUAUUCUGAAAGGCUGAUUUGCUGCUAUGCCUGUGGAAAAAUAACAAUUUUAUGUGCAUUCUCAUCUGUAACCCAUAGGUGAUAUUCAAAUUGUUCCUAUCUGAGAAACUCUA